rnacentral:rRNA from 1 species
UACAGAGGUCCCAAGCGUUGUUCGGAUUCACUGGGCGUAAAGGGUGCGUAGGCGGUCGGGUAAGUCUGAUGUGAAAUCUCACAGCUUAACUGUGAAACUGCAUUGGAUACUAUUCGGAUUGAGAGUUGGAGGGGGGACUGGAAUUCUUGGUGUAGCAGUGAAAUGCGUAGAUAUCAAGAGGAACACCAGUGGAGAAGGCGAGUAAAUGGACAACUUCUGACGCUGAGGAAAGAAAGCUAGGGGAGCAAACAGG